UCAGUCGGCCGGGCGGCCGCUCCGGCAGGGAUCGAAAGGUCGCCGGGGAGGAAAGUCCGGGCUCCAUUGACACACGGUGCCGGAUAACGUCCGGCGGGGGCGACCCCAGGGACAGUGCCACAGAGAACGAACCGCCGCGUCCGCGGGCGCGGUAAGGGUGAAAAGGUGCGGUAAGAGCGCACCGCGUUUCCGGCAACGGAGACGGCAUGGCAAACCCCACCGGGAGCAAAACCGAAUAGGGACGGCAUGGCGGACAGUUCGCUUCCGGAACACGUGUCCGGGGCGAUAACUCCGCGGGGCGCGAUGUCAGGCCCGCCGUCCGGGUAGGUUGCUCGAGACGCAAGGCGACUUGCGCCCCAGAGGAAUGGCCGCCACGUCCGGACGAUGCGAAUCGUCCGGGCCCUACAGAACCCGGCUUACAGGCCGGCUGAUAUU
rnacentral:RNase_P_RNA from 1 species